rnacentral:misc_RNA from 1 species
GGGAGUAAAAGGUAACAAGGUCUCCGUAGGUGAACCUGCGGAGGGAUCAUUACAGAGUUCAUGCCCUACCGGGUAGAUCUCCCACCCUAUGUUAUUAUUACUUUGUUGCUUUGGCGGGCCGUUAGGCUCCGGCCCGACUACCGGCCCCGGCUGGUAAGCGCCCGCCAGAGGACCCAAAACCCUGAAUAUUAGUGUCGUCUGAGUACUAUAUAAUAGUUAAAACUUUCAACAACGGAUCUCUUGGUUCUG